rnacentral:rRNA from 1 species
UACAGAGGUCCCAAGCGUUACUGAGAAUCACUGGGUUUAAAGGGUGCGUAGGUGGUCCGUUAAGUCAGUUGUGAAAUCCCCGGGCUCAACCCGGGAACUGCUUCUGAUACUGGCGGACUUGAGGCCAGUAGGGGGUCACUAGAACUGACGGUGGAGCGGUGAAAUGCGUAGAUAUCGUCAGGAAUGCCGGUGGUGAAGACGGGUGACUGGGCUGGUUCUGACACUGAGGCACGAAAGCGUGGGGAGCGAACGGGG